GAAUAUUAAAUCAUCCAAGUUCUUAAAGGUGUUAAAAGCUGGCUUCCCAGUGCCUAGCGGAUGCCACACAUGGUGAAAGAGCCCCCUGGGAAGCUAGGCCAGACUAUAAAAUCCCAGUGCCCAAAAUUGGGCACGACAAAAACUGUCACCUUAGAAACUGUCCGCCCUGCCUGGAGGUCAGCUGGUCCUGGCUAUGUGGCUUCAAGCAAAUUUCUCACUUCUCAGAACAGCUUCCUCCUGUCUAAAAGAAGAAAGGAGAGAGGGUUCAGAGGUUAAUAACAUUUUCUGUUCUUACAAGUCUAGUCCGCGGCACCCACAUGGCCAUUCACAACCACCUGUAACUCUAGUUCCAGUACAGUGUGGGUCUAAACCUUCCUAACACUGCAGCCUUAAACACACUUCCUCAUGUUGUACUGACUCCCAACCAUAAAAUUAUUUUGUUGCUACUACAGAACUGUGAUUUUGCUACUAUGAUGAAUCGGAAUGUAAAUAUCUGAUAUGCAGGGCAUCUGAUAUGCGACCUCCCAAAGGGGCCGUGGCUCAUAGGUUAAGAACCACUAUUCUAGUGGCUCUGAUACCCUCUUCUGGCCUCUCCAGGGAUCAGGCAUGCAGCUGUGGAUAUACAUACAUGGAGGCAAAACACUUAUAUUCAUAAAAUAAACAUGAGUAAAUCUUAAGAAAAGACGAAUGAUCAAAACACGUUGUGCAAAAUUCUCAAAAAUCUGAUACUGAAACAAACAAAACGGAGGAGAAAAAUGUCCGUUUGUUAGUAAUGUAUGAAGGAAGGACCAAUGUUCAAGCAGGUGGAACCAACCAUAACUAUGGAAAAUGGAAAAGUGAAUAAUCUACAAAUAACCUUUAUAAAGCUAAAAUCCCUCAUGGAAGACUUGGCGAAGCUCACAGGAAAAGAGCCAUGGACAGUCAUUUGUUUUCACAGUUCCUACUUUGGCUGGUGUUGGAAAGUAGAACAGAGGGAGCCAUCACAUCUCCUUCCAUGUCUGCUUCCGUUUCCAGAUGACAGUGGUCACACCCGACAGAACUCACUCUCCCACCAGGAUUUCCUCCAGACUCACCCCAGUUGCCUACCUGGUGUGUUUCCUUCAAAUCUGUUCUUGAUUUUAUUUUAUUUUCCUUUUUCAGAACAGAUUUUUCUUUUUCUGAGUGGCACUUGUCAACUUCUCCCCCUCUCUGGUUAUCCUAAUAAAUCUAUUAAAGAAAAAAGACAGUGUCACAAGAAUUUUUUAAUUUUAUGUAAAUUUAAGAGAAAA
rnacentral:lncRNA from 1 species